rnacentral:rRNA from 1 species
AAUCGGAAUUACUGGGCGUAAAGAGCGUGUAGGCGGAUAAUUAAGUCAGAUGUGAAAUCCUUGGGCUCAACCUAAGAACUGCAUUUGAUACUGAUUAACUUGAGUAUGGUAGAGGAAAGUAGAAUUUCCGGGUGUAGCGGUGGAAUGCGUAGAUAUCGGAAGGAAUACCAGUGGCGAAGGCGGCUUUCUGGACCAAUACUGACGCUGAGACGCGAAAGCGUGGGGAGCAAACAGGAUUAGAUACCCCUGUAGUCCUGGCCGUAAACGAUGAACACUAGGUGUCGGGGGAAUCGACCCCCUCGGUGUCGUAGCCAACGCGUUAAGUGUUCCGCCUGGGGAGUACGCACGCAAGUGUGAAACUCAAAGGAAUUGACGGGGGCCCGCACAAGCGGUGGAGUAUGUGGUUUAAUUCGAAGCAACGCGCAGAACCUUACCAACCCUUGACAUCCUAGGACAACUCCAGAGAUGGAGCCUUCCUUCGGGACCUAGUGACAGGUGCUGCAUGGCU